rnacentral:misc_RNA from 1 species
GUGGUCUUAUCCUCCACGGGGUUUUGAGCUCGAACAACUUCGGUCACAAGGUGUCCAAAAAUCACAAAAACCCAACACCAAUAUCCAGACAUUGUCCCCGUUGUAACAUACACUUUCCUUCGGCGUAAUUGACGCGGUAAAACGGAUUGCACUAGUGCAUUAUAUUCCAAAAACUUGGGCAGCUCACUUCCGACGUGUCGUAGACCGCAAAAUGAUCGAACGGUAUCAACGGCGGUAUUAUCAGGUGAACGGCGAAUCCAGUUAUGUAUUCCUUUGGCACGUCGCUCUUCGAGGUUCGCUAUAUACUCCACUGCACUCAUAGGGUGUUAAAAUUCAGUGUGUGCUGCGAUGCUAUUUUUACUUGAUACGUCGAUCACUACUCGUGGGGUGGAUGAACGGCGGGUUUUCGCUCGUCACAAUUAUUUAUAAAAAACAGAAAAAAAACGUUAACAACAAAUUGCG